CCCAUUUCCUCCUUGCUUCACCCCGUGAACACAACUGCUUCUCUUCAGCAGCCCCAAAUGGAAAUUAUUCAGUGUCUUAUGUGAAAUUGAAAAUAUUUUUAAAAAGACAAUUGCAAUGUUAGUGUAUUGUGGAUGAUACUCUACAAGAAAAGCCUGAGCAAUGUUGGAGUGUCACAGCCACAGAGGGGCACAUCAACCUGAUACAAGAGAAAUGGAGCGAGGAGAGGUUAAAUCACAGAAUUUGGAAAGAAAAAGGGCAUCCAACAGCCUUAAAGAUGAAGAAAUGGAAGCUCCAGAGUUGAAGAAAUGUGUCUUCACUCCCACAAGUAAUCUUGAAGUUCCGAGCCACCAUGAGAGUUUUCCUGACACUGAGGUAAUUUCCUACCAUGUUGACACCACCUUGCGCCAGUGUUCAAGACCAUCACAGCUAUGAACCUUGUUGGCUUGUAUCAGAUGCCUGCUGGGACCUUGGCUGCCCAUAGUGCUCUCUAAAGACUCCAGCUUUCCAUAACUCCUACAGUUUUAAGUUCAAGGAAUGAUGAAGAGGACGCCAAUGUACGGAUUUGAUUUACCAAAUCAGGCCUGUACAGCAGCUGAAUCAACCUAUGGGAAAAUUUUGGCUCUCUUUAACAUUCUAAUUUUUGAGAACACCAUUGCAAAUACAUGAUUUCCAAAAUAAUAACAAUGCACUUAAUUAAUCACAUUAUAGAUCAUCAUAUAAAAAUAAAUACCUAAAUAGAAAUACAA
rnacentral:lncRNA from 1 species